rfam:Neocallimastix californiae strain G1 LY90scaffold_461, whole genome shotgun sequence.
AUCCGAAUAGUGUAGUGGUUAUCACGUUUGCUUUACACGCAAAAGGUCUCCGGUUCGAACCCGGGUUCGGGUA